rnacentral:rRNA from 1 species
GUUCUACCUUGACGAAUUGUAGUUUAAAGAAGUGUUUUCUGUUAGAGGAGUAGCAUAAGUUCCUUGGAAUGGGACAUCAUAGAGGGUGAGAAUCCCGCAUUUGGUUAUUCUUUCUAGCUUUGUGAUACACUUUCAAAGAGUCGGAUUGUUUGGGAAUGCAGUCCAAAAUGGGUGGUAAAUUUCAUCUAAAGCUAAAUAUUGGCGAGAGACCGAUAGCGAACAAGUACCGUGAGGGAAAGAUGAAAAGAACUUUGAAAAGAGAGUUAAACAGUACGUGAAAUUGUCAAAAGGGAAGCGUUUGACACCAGUGUUGUUUUUCCGAAAAUCAAUUAAGAAGGGCUUGAUUUUGUGUUGUAUUGACCUUAUCAGCUUUCUUCACUCUUUUUCGAGCCUUUCUU